GAUGAACGCUGGCGGCGUGCCUAAUACAUGCAAGUCGAGCGAACAGAUGAGGAGCUUGCUCCUCUGACGUUAGCGGCGGACGGGUGAGUAACACGUGGAUAACCUACCUAUAAGACUGGGAUAAAUUCGGGAAACCGGAGCUAAUACCGGAUAAUAUAUUGAACCGCAUGGUUCAAUAGUGAAAGACGGUUUUGCUGUCACUUAUAGAUGGAUCCGCGCCGCAUUAGCUAGUUGGUAAGGUAACGGCUUACCAAGGCAACGAUGCGUAGCCGACCUGAGAGGGUGAUCGGCCACACUGGAACUGAGACACGGUCCAGACUCCUACGGGAGGCAGCAGUAGGGAAUCUUCCGCAAUGGGCGAAAGCCUGACGGAGCAACGCCGCGUGAGUGAUGAAGGUCUUCGGAUCGUAAAACUCUGUUAUUAGGGAAGAACAAAUGUGUAAGUAACUAUGCACGUCUUGACGGUACCUAAUCAGAAAGCCACGGCUAACUACGUG
rnacentral:rRNA from 1 species